CACGUAGGGCGCAAGCGUUGUCCGGAAUUAUUGGGCGUAAAGAGCUCGUAGGCGGUCUGUACAGUCAGGCGUGAAAUUCCUGGGCUCAACCUGGGGGCUGCGUUUGAUACGUGCAGACUAGAGUGCGGAAGAGGGUCGUGGAAUUCCCAGUGUAGAGGUGAAAUUCGUAGAUAUUGGGAAGAACACCGGUGGCGAAGGCGGCGACCUGGUCCGAUACUGACGCUGAGGCGCGAAAGCGUGGGGAGCAAACAGG
rnacentral:rRNA from 1 species